rnacentral:rRNA from 1 species
UUAAGCGACUAAGCGUACACGGUGGAUGCCCUGGCAGUCAGAGGCGAUGAAGGACGUGCUAAUCUGCGAAAAGCGUCGGUAAGGUGAUAUGAACCGUUAUAACCGGCGAUGUCCGAAUGGGGAAACCCAGUGUGAUUCGUCACACUAUCGUUAACUGAAUACAUAGGUUAACGAGGCGAACCGGGGGAACUGAAACAUCUAAGUACCCCGAGGAAAAGAAAUCAACCGAGAUUCCCCCAGUAGCGGCGAGCGAACGGGGAGCAGCCCAGAGUCUGAAUCAGCUUGUGUGUUAGUGGAACGGUCUGGAAAGUCCGACGGUACAGGGUGAUAGUCCCGUACACCAAAAUGCACAGGCUGUGAACUCGAAGAGUAGGGCGGGACACGUGGUAUCCUGUCUGAAUAUGGGGGGACCAUCCUCCAAGGCUAAAUACUCCUGACUGACCGAUAGUGAACCAGUACCGUGAGGGAAAGGCGAAAAGAACCCCGGCGAGGGGAGUGAAAAAGAACCUGAAACCGUGUACGUACAAGCAGUGGGAGCACCUUCGGGUGUGACUGCGUACCUUUUGUAUAAUGGGUCAGCGACUUAUAUUCUGUAGCAAGGUUAACCGUAUAGGGGAGCCGCAGGGAAACCGAGUCUUAACUGGGCGUUAAGUUGCAGGGUAUAGACCCGAAACCCGGUGAUCUAGCCAUGGGCAGGUUGAAGGUUGGGUAACACUAACUGGAGGACCGAACCGACUAAUGUUGAAAAAUUAGCGGAUGACUUGUGGCUGGGGGUGAAAGGCCAAUCAAACCGGGAGAUAGCUGGUUCUCCCCGAAAGCUAUUUAGGUAGCGCCUCGUGAACUCAUCUUCGGGGGUAGAGCACUGUUUCGGCUAGGGGGUCAUCCCGACUUACCAACCCGAUGCAAACUACGAAUACCGAAGAAUGUUAUCACGGGAGACACACGGCGGGUGCUAACGUCCGUCGUGAAGAGGGAAACAACCCAGACCGCCAGCUAAGGUCCCAAAGUCAUGGUUAAGUGGGAAACGAUGUGGGAAGGCCCAGACAGCCAGGAUGUUGGCUUAGAAGCAGCCAUCAUUUAAAGAAAGCGUAAUAGCUCACUGGUCGAGUCGGCCUGCGCGGAAGAUGUAACGGGGCUAAACCAUGCACCGAAGCUGCGGCAGCGACACUAUGUGUUGUUGGGUAGGGGAGCGUUCUGUAAGCCUGCGAAGGUGACCUGUGAGGGUUGCUGGAGGUAUCAGAAGUGCGAAUGCUGACAUAAGUAACGAUAAAGCGGGUGAAAAGCCCGCUCGCCGGAAGACCAAGGGUUCCUGUCCAACGUUAAUCGGGGCAGGGUGAGUCGACCCCUAAGGCGAGGCCGAAAGGCGUAGUCGAUGGGAAACAGGUUAAUAUUCCUGUACUUGGUGUUACUGCGAAGGGGGGACGGAGAAGGCUAUGUUAGCCGGGCGACGGUUGUCCCGGUUUAAGCAUGUAGGCUGGUUAUCCAGGCAAAUCCGGAUAAUCAAGGCUGAGGUGUGAUGACGAGGCACUACGGUGCUGAAGUAACAAAUGCCCUGCUUCCAGGAAAAGCCUCUAAGCAUCAGGUAACAUCAAAUCGUACCCCAAACCGACACAGGUGGUCAGGUAGAGAAUACCAAGGCGCUUGAGAGAACUCGGGUGAAGGAACUAGGCAAAAUGGUGCCGUAACUUCGGGAGAAGGCACGCUGGUGUGUAGGUGAAGUCCCUGCGGAUGGAGCUGAGACCAGUCGAAGAUACCAGCUGGCUGCAACUGUUUAUUAAAAACACAGCACUGUGCAAACACGAAAGUGGACGUAUACGGUGUGACGCCUGCCCGGUGCCGGAAGGUUAAUUGAUGGGGUUAUCCGUAAGGAGAAGCUCUUGAUCGAAGCCCCGGUAAACGGCGGCCGUAACUAUAACGGUCCUAAGGUAGCGAAAUUCCUUGUCGGGUAAGUUCCGACCUGCACGAAUGGCGUAAUGAUGGCCAGGCUGUCUCCACCCGAGACUCAGUGAAAUUGAACUCGCUGUGAAGAUGCAGUGUACCCGCGGCAAGACGGAAAGACCCCGUGAACCUUUACUAUAGCUUGACACUGAACAUUGAGCCUUGAUGUGUAGGAUAGGUGGGAGGCUUUGAAGCGUGGACGCCAGUCUGCGUGGAGCCAACCUUGAAAUACCACCCUUUAAUGUUUGAUGUUCUAACGUUGGCCCCUGACCGGGGUUGCGGACAGUGUCUGGUGGGUAGUUUGACUGGGGCGGUCUCCUCCCAAAGCGUAACGGAGGAGCACGAAGGUUAGCUAAUCCUGGUCGGACAUCAGGAGGUUAGUGCAAUGGCAUAAGCUAGCUUGACUGCGAGCGUGACGGCGCGAGCAGGUGCGAAAGCAGGUCAUAGUGAUCCGGUGGUUCUGAAUGGAAGGGCCAUCGCUCAACGGAUAAAAGGUACUCCGGGGAUAACAGGCUGAUACCGCCCAAGAGUUCAUAUCGACGGCGGUGUUUGGCACCUCGAUGUCGGCUCAUCACAUCCUGGGGCUGAAGUAGGUCCCAAGGGUAUGGCUGUUCGCCAUUUAAAGUGGUACGCGAGCUGGGUUUAGAACGUCGUGAGACAGUUCGGUCCCUAUCUGCCGUGGGCGCUGGAGAAUUGAGGGGGGCUGCUCCUAGUACGAGAGGACCGGAGUGGACGCAUCACUGGUGUUCGGGUUGUCAUGCCAAUGGCACUGCCCGGUAGCUAAAUGCGGAAGAGAUAAGUGCUGAAAGCAUCUAAGCACGAAACUUGCCCCGAGAUGAGUUCUCCCUGAGACUAUAAGUCUCCUGAAGGAACGUUAAAGACGAUGACGUUGAUAGGCCGGGUGUGUAAGCGCAGCGAUGCGUUGAGCUAACCGGUACUAAUGAACCGUGAGGCUUAACCUU